CUUAGCACUAAAAUCGUCGGAUUAAAACUUAAAGAGCAUGGCGGCCACAAAAAUGUUUAGGGGAACUUACCAAGUAAUAGACAACCCACACGUUAUUCCUCUUAUUUUUACAGUUUGUAUACCGCCGUCUAAGUAUUACUUAUGGUAGUGCUAAAAUUUGAUUAGGAAAAAGGACAGGUCAUGGUGCAGCCAAUAAAUAAGUUUUAGGCGAGUUACAAUAAAAAAUUUUUUUUUAAAAAAAUUUUUAUAAGAUUUUAAGAAGUGGACUUAAAAGUAAUACUAAAAAGAAAUAUAGUCUGAAUUAAAAAUUUUGUGGUGU
rnacentral:rRNA from 1 species